rnacentral:antisense_RNA from 2 species
AAUCAAAGCACCUAGACCUAACAAAAUUAAGUGAAUACCCAAAAUUGUAGUCAUUUUAUUUCUAUCUUUCCA